rnacentral:tRNA from 1 species
CAUUAAGUGGCUGAAAUAAGUUAAGCAUUGGUCUCUUAAACCAAAUUAUAGUAUAUUAACAAAUACUCUUAAUGA